rnacentral:rRNA from 1 species
UACGUAGGGAGCGAGCGUUGUCCGGAAUGACUGGGUGUAAAGGGAGCGUAGGCGGGAUGGCAAGUCAGAUGUGAAACCUGAGGGCUCAACCUUCAGACUGCAUUUGAAACUGCUGUUCUUGAGUGAAGUAGAGGUAAGCGGAAUUCAUGGUGUAGCGGUGAAAUGCGUAGAGAUCAGGAGGAACAUCGGUGGCGAAGGCGGCUUACUGGGCUUUUACUGACGCUGAGGCUCGAAAGCGUGGGGAGCAAACAGG